GUAGGGAGCAAGCGUUAUCCGGAUUUAUUGGGUGUAAAGGGUGCGUAGACGGGAAGGUAAGUUAGUUGUGAAAUCCCUCGGCUCAACUGAGGAACUGCGACUAAAACUGCUUUUCUUGAGUGCUGGAGAGGAAAGUGGAAUUCCUAGUGUAGCGGUGAAAUGCGUAGAUAUUAGGAGGAACACCAGUGGCGAAGGCGACUUUCUGGACAGUAACUGACGUUGAGGCACGAAAGUGUGGGGAGCAAACAGGAUUAGAUACCCUGGUAGUCCACACCGUAAACGAUGGAUACUAGGUGUAGGGGAUAUUAAGUCUUCUGUGCCGUCGCAAACGCAGUAAGUAUCCCACCUGGGGAGUACGGCCGCAAGGUUG
rnacentral:rRNA from 1 species